UGGCUAGAAGAAAUGAGCCGGUCGAGGUGGGUCCCAGGAGGCAUAACUAAGACCAUAAUAACAACGGUCGUUGGCUAUGGGGUUGAGAAACUCGUAGAAAUGAUGUUCGAAGAAUCAAGAAGGAGAAAGGAGAAGAAGACCACAAAAGUCCUGGAAUGUAAGAUAGAUGAAGCCUUCCAGGAGCUCAGAGAAAAAAUUGAAGCCGUAAAGAAAUAUUUCAAAGAAUUGCAGGAGUCCAGACAGAAGGAGCAUCAGCUCCUCAGAGCAGAGCUGGAGAAGAACCAAGGAAAGAAGGAGGAGAACUUUGCAAGGGUCCUGUUAUCUAGGGCGGAGAAAGAAAUCCAGGUAUUCUCCCAGAGAAUUAAAACUCUGCAAAAAGAUGUACAAGAAUGGCCAGAGACCACAAUGUAUGAGCUUGAGCUUCUCAGAGCAGAGCUGGAGAAGAACCAAGGAAAGGAAGAGAAGGAAAUUUCAAGGGCCCUGUUAUCCAGGUUGAUUUGGAAAUUCAAGCAGCUCUUAAAAAAAAUUGAAACUUUGGAAGAAGAUUUAGAGGAAUUGCUGAAGUCAUCACAGCAUGAGUUUCAACUUCUCGGAGCAGACCAGAAGUAACAAG
rnacentral:lncRNA from 1 species